CAGCCGCCGCGGUAAUGCGUAGGGUGCAAGCGUUAAUCGGAAUUACUGGGCGUAAAGCGUGCGCAGGCGGUUGUGUAAGACAGGUGUGAAAUCCCCGGGCUUAACCUGGGAACUGCGCUUGUGACUGCACAGCUAGAGUAUGGCAGAGGGGGGUGGAAUUCCACGUGUAGCAGUGAAAUGCGUAGAGAUGUGGAGGAACACCGAUGGCGAAGGCAGCCCCCUGGGCCAAUACUGACGCUCAUGCACGAAAGCGUGGGGAGCAAACAGGAUUAGAUACCCGCGUAGUCCCUGUCUCUUAUAC
rnacentral:rRNA from 1 species